UACAGAGGGUGCAAGCGUUGUUCGGAAUUAUUGGGCGUAAAGCGCGUGUAGGCGGCUUUGCAAGUCGGGUGUGAAAGCCCUCAGCUCAACUGAGGAAGUGCGCCCGAAACUGCAGAGCUUGAGUACCGGAGAGGGUGGCGGAAUUCCCCAAGUAGAGGUGAAAUUCGUAGAUAUGGGGAGGAACACCGGUGGCGAAGGCGGCCACCUGGACGGGAUACUGACGCUGAGACGCGAAAGCGUGGGUAGCAAACAGG
rnacentral:rRNA from 1 species